rnacentral:rRNA from 1 species
UCGAGGGGUAUUUGUAGCAAUACAGAGAGACCGGCGCACGGGUGAGUAACGCGUAUGCAACCUGCCCUUUACUGGGGAAUAGCCCGUAGAAAUGCGGAUUAAUACCCCAUAGUUCUGAGAAGCUGCAUGGUUUUUCAGAUAAAGUUUCGGCGGUAAAGGAUGGGCAUGCGUGACAUUAGCUUGUUGGUGAGGUAACGGCUCACCAAGGCUGCGAUGUCUAGGGGUUCUGAGAGGAAGAUCCCCCACACUGGUACUGAGACACGGACCAGACUCCUACGGGAGGCAGCAGUGAGGAAUAUUGGUCAAUGGGCGAGAGCCUGAACCAGCCAUCCCGCGUGCAGGAAGAAUGCCCUAUGGGUUGUAAACUGCUUUUUCGCAUGAAGAACACCUUUGACGUGUCAGAGGCUGACGGUAAUGCGUGAAUAAGCACCGGCUAACUCCGUGCCAGCAGCCGCGGUAAUACGGAGGGUGCAAGCGUUAUCCGGAUUUAUUGGGUUUAAAGGGUGCGUAGGCGGCUAUUUAAGUCAGUGGUGAAAUCCUGCAGCUCAACUGUAGAACAGCCAUUGAAACUGAAUAGCUUGAGUAAUCUUGAGGUAGGCGGAAUGUGUAGUGUAGCGGUGAAAUGCUUAGAUAUUACACAGAACACCGAUUGCGAAGGCAGCUUACUAAGGAUUCACUGACGCUGAUGCACGAAAGCGUGGGGAUCAAACAGGAUUAGAUACCCUGGUAGUCCACGCCGUANACGAUGAUAACUCGCUGUUGGCGANACACAGUCAGCGGCUUAGCGAAAGCGUUAAGUUAUCCACCUGGGGAGUACG